CUUCAGGGCAGUAAUAUACAACUGCAUCAUUGCCUGAUGCCUGCAUGAAGAAGUUUAAACCGAUCGCCGCAAUGAGGACCCGCCGGACUGGCCGCGUGGGUGUCAGUAGCAGCUCCUUCCACACGCCUUUUCUCUGCCAGGACCUGUCUGGCUUCCUCUGAUCGGCCUCGCAUGACCAACCACCUCGGUGACUCCGGCAUUGCCAAAACGCCGAUCGCAACAAAAAUGGCUGGGAUCGCAGCGACUCCGAGCAUUAGCCGCCAGUUCAGAUUCUGUGGCAGACCCACAAAUGCAUAAUUGAAGAUGUAGCCCAGAAGGAUGCCUAUGUUGAUGAAGACUUCAGGCAAUGAGGUGAGGAAGCCUCGGGUGGUUGCAGGUGAGAUCUCGGCCGUGUACACAGGAGCAAUCAUGAGGGAGUAGCCCACGCCAAUUCCCGCCACUAUCCGUCCUACCAUUAGGAAGGGAAAGCAUGGGGCAAGGCCCAUCAGCAACGAGCCAAUCAGGAAGGUAGCAGAUGCCAGAACAAUGGUGUACCGACGCCCAAUCCAAUCAGAUGUUUUUCCAGCAGCCAAGGACCCAAGCAAGGAGCAGGCAUUCAACGACCCAAUCAAGAUCUCUUCCUGCGUUGAUGUGAUCCCAAGAUCAUCCUUGAUGAACAGCACAGCACCACUCAUCACUCCAAUAUCUGCACGCAGAAAUCGUACAUGUAAUCACUACAUUCAAGCUAGAUUUUAGAACAUGGUUUCAGAGAGACACUCGCCCAGCACCAGAACCGUUACCAGUCAUUCCACUUCGACCAGAAUCAGCAAGUCAGAUAGUGACGCCACAAAAUACACUUGUUCCCAGAGUGGGUAACUCAGUUCAUUCUUCAGUGAACUGAUUCAACUUAAUUCAGUGAGUUCUCAUUCCUCAA